UAGGGAAUCUUCCGCAAUGGGCGAAAGCUUGACGGAGCAACGCCGCGCGAGUGAUGAAGGUCUUCGGAUCGUAAAACUCUGUUAUUAGGGAAGAACAAAUGUGUAAGUAACUAUGCACGUCUUGACGGUACCUAAUCAGAAAGCCACGGCUAACUACGUGCCAGCAGCCGCGGUAAUACGUAGGUGGCAAGCGUUAUCCGGAAUUAUUGGGCGUAAAGCGCGCGUAGGCGGUUUUUUAAGUCUGAUGUGAAAGCCCACGGCUCAACCGUGGAGGGUCAUUGGAAACUGGAAAACUUGAGUGCAGAAGAGGAAAGUGGAAUUCCAUGUGUAGCGGUGAAAUGCGCAGAGAUAUGGAGGAACACCAGUGGCGAAGGCGACUUUCUGGUCUGUAACUGACGCUGAUGUGCGAAAGCGUGGGGAUCAAACAGG
rnacentral:rRNA from 1 species